CACAGUCCUCCUGUGUCUUCUCCAAGCUUCACAUGUAAGAUCCAACAGUGUGAAGCACAUAGCAGCUAGAAACUGUAAUGCCACAGAUCAGAGAGGCUUCAUCAUCACCAUCUUCAUCGCCGUACGAUCAGAGCGUGAGACUUCACAUCUGGAGCACAGGAGACAUUCUGUGAUAAGUCCUCCUUCUAGCUUGUCCCACAAGCAGUCGGUGAGAUUUACUCACAACAAAAAGGGUUAAUGACAUAAUUUCCAUGAAAACAUGUAUUCAUUCUUUGUAAAGUGUUUAAAUUGUGUUUUCACUUGACCUUAGGAGUGUUAGAGUGUAUUGUAAUGUCUGUACUCAGGUGUUUCCCUCUGUGAUCCAUCCCCAUCACAGCUGAGACACUCAGGACUGAACAGACUGCACAGUUUCUGUGACCGAGCCUCCAAAACACCUUCUUUGAAACCACUCAUGAUAGAAGGGCUUCAUAUUUGCAGCAGCACUACUACAGUUGGCAGGAAUGUUGCUGCAGGAAAACAUCCCUGGAGAUCACCAUCAUUGUCAGACUGACUGUGCCUCCUCUGUGCAGUGUCAAGAUCCUCUCUAAAUGAGUGUUCCUCAGCUAUCCUGCUUCUGUGCUGCUUGCCACACA